rnacentral:rRNA from 1 species
GACGAAGGAUGCAAGCGUUAUCCGGAUUCAUUGGGUUUAAAGGGAGCGUAGGUGGCCUUAUAAGUCAGUGGUGAAAUCUCGAGGCUUAACCUCGAAAUUGCCAUUGAUACUGUAGGGCUUGAGUAUAGUUGCCGUUGGCGGAAUAUGACAUGUAGUGGUGAAAUACAUAGAGAUGUCAUAGAACACCGAUUGCGAAGGCAGCUGACGAAACUAUAACUGACACUGAGGCUCGAAAGUGCGGGGAUCAAACAGG